rnacentral:rRNA from 1 species
UACGUAGGGCGCAAGCGUUAUCCGGAAUUACUGGGCGUAAAGCGCACGUAGGCGGAUAUUUAAGUCAGGGGUGAAAUCCCGGGGGCUCAACCCCGGAACUGCCUUUGAUACUGGGUAUCUCGAGUCCGAGAGAGGUGAGUGGAAUUCCGAGUGUAGAGGUGAAAUUCGUAGAUAUUCGGAGGAACACCAGUGGCGAAGGCGGCUCACUGGCUCGGUACUGACGCUGAGGUGCGAAAGCGUGGGGAGCAAACAGG